rnacentral:rRNA from 1 species
GAUGAAUGCUGGCGGCGUGCCUAAUACAUGCAAGUCGAGCGGUAAGGCCCUUCGGGGUACACGAGCGGCGGACGGCUGAGUAACGCGUGGGAACAUGCCCCAAAGUGAGGGAUAACGCACCGAAAGGUGUGCUAAUACCGCAUAUGGUCUUCGGAUUAAAGGAUUUAUCCGCUUUGGGAGUGGCCCGCGUACGAUUAGAUUGUUGGUGAGGUAACGGCUCACCAAGUCGACGAUCGUUAACUGGUCUGAGAGGAUGAUCAGUCAGACUGGAACUGAGACACGGUCCAGACUCCUACGGGAGGCAGCAGUAAGGAAUCUUCCACAAUGGGCGAAAGCCUGAUGGAGCAACGCCGCGUGCAGGAUGAAGGCCCUCGGGUCGUAAACUGCUUUAUGAGUGAAGAAUAUGACGGUAACUCAUG